rnacentral:rRNA from 1 species
GACGAACGCUGGCGGCGUGCUUAACACAUGCAAGUCGAACGGAAAGGCCCUGCUUUUGUGGGGUGCUCGAGUGGCGAACGGGUGAGUAACACGUGAGUAACCUGCCCUUGACUUUGGGAUAACUUCAGGAAACUGGGGCUAAUACCGGAUAGGAGCUCCUGCUGCAUGGUGGGGGUUGGAAAGUUUCGGCGGUUGGGGAUGGACUCGCGGCUUAUCCGCUUGUUGGUGGGGUAGUGGCUUACCAAGGCUUUGCCGUGUCGCCGGCCUGAGAGGGUGAUCGGCCACAUAGCGACUGCUGAACCGCCGAUACACCUACGGGCGUCAGAGCCGGAGACUGGUGCACUAUCUGCGGACGCCUACGUCAGCAUUGCCGCGUGCGGGAUAACCCCGAUCGGGGUGUCCCCGCUUUAAGCGUCUGACGAACCGCUAGUGAUGGUAACAGGUAAGUAAGCGGAUGCUAACUACGUG